rnacentral:rRNA from 1 species
CCUACGGGUGGCAGCAGUGAGGAAUAUUGGUCAAUGGGCGCGAGCCUGAACCAGCCAAGCAGCGUGAAGGAUGACUGCCCUACGGGUUGUAAACUUCUUUUAUAAAGGAAUAAAGUGAGGCACGUGUACCUUUUUGUAUGUAUCUUAUGAAUAAGGAUCGGCUAACUCCGUGCCAGCAGCCGCGGUAAUACGGAGGAUCCGAGCGUUAUUCGGAUUUAUUGGGUUUAAAGGGAGCGUAGAUGGGUUGUUAAGUCAGUUGUGAAAGUUUGCGGCUCAACCGUAAAACUGCAAUUGAUACUGGCAGUCUUGAGUACAGGUGAGGUUGGCGGAAUUCGUGGUGUAGCGGUGAAAUGCGUAGAUAUCACGAGGAACACCGAUUGCGAAGGCAACUUACUAAACUGCCACUGACAUUGAUGCUCGAAAGUGUGGGUAUCAAACAGGAUUAGAUACCCUGGUAGUC